GGCGUCUCCGCUCCGGCCGCACGCUGCGGGCCGGGAGGCCCCGACGACGGCGGCGGUGGCUUUACUCCCGGCGGCGCGAUGGUGUCCCGGCUUCGCCCCCCCGGGCAAAGGGCAUCCUCGGGCGGUGCGUGUGCGGGGGCCGCCUGUGGGGUGGAAAAUGGCAGCUGCCCACCAGCACACCGCGGCAGUUCUCCUGGCCAGAGGUGUGAGGGAUGCGCUGGGGUGCUCAGGGGAUUGAAUGUCAUCUCUAAGACAACGUGUCACUUCAAUUGUCUUUCCUCAGAAGCCAGGUGAAAGGGGAGGAACGCCAUACCACCCUCAAAGGUCACUGGCUGUAGGUGAACUCCAAGCAUUCUCCUGAAGCCCACCAAGUUCAUCUUCUGGAGCUCAAAGGAAGGAAGAAACUCAGGCAUUGGCUUCCUCAGUUCAGUAACCGACAGAUGACCCUCAACUGGGUUUUGCCAUACCAAGCAUCUAUAUAACACUUUUUUUGUAAACUGGCCUUUUUACCAGCUAAUAUAAGACAUCAACAGUCUUACAUACCCAGUAAAAUGUACUACACAAUAUUAUUAAAGUCCCAUAUGUUUGUUCAGAA